rnacentral:rRNA from 1 species
CGCGCAGGCGGUCGAUUUAGUCGCGUGUGAAAGCCCCCGGCUCAACUGGGGAGGGUCAUUCGAUACUGAUCGACUCGAAGGCAGGAGAGGGUAGUGGAAUUCCCGGUGUAGUGGUGAAAUGCGUAGAUAUCGGGAGGAACACCAGUGGCGAAGGCGACUACCUGGCCUGUUCUUGACGCUGAGGCGCGAAAGCUAGGGGAAGGCAAACG